GCCUGGGUGGCUCAGUCAGUUGAGCUUUGGACUUUUGAUUUCAGCUCAGGUCAUGAUCCCAGGGUUGUGGGAUCAAGCCCCAUAUCAGGCU
rnacentral:tRNA from 1 species